rnacentral:rRNA from 1 species
AGGGUUUGAUUAUGGCUCAGGAUGAACGCUAGCGACAGGCUUAACACAUGCAAGUCGAGGGGCAGCACAGGUAGCAAUACCGGGUGGCGACCGGCGCACGGGUGAGUAACGCGUAUGCAACUUACCUAUCAGAGGGGGAUAACCCGGCGAAAGUCGGACUAAUACCGCAUGAAGCAGGGGCCCCGCAUGGGGAUAUUUGCUAAAGAUUCAUCGCUGAUAGAUAGGCAUGCGUUCCAUUAGGCAGUUGGCGGGGUAACGGCCCACCAAACCGACGAUGGAUAGGGGUUCUGAGAGGAAGGUCCCCCACAUUGGUACUGAGACACGGACCAA